rnacentral:rRNA from 1 species
AUUGAACGCUGGCGGCAGGCCUAACACAUGCAAGUCGAGCGAGUGGCGGACGGGUGAGUAAUGUCUGGGAAACUGCCUGAUGGCGGGGGAUAACUACUGGAAACGGUAGCUAAUACCGCAUACCAUCAUAUGUUCCCAGAUUGGAUUAGCUAGUAGGUGGGGUAACGGCUCACCAAGGCGACGAUCCCUAGCUGGUCUGAGAGGAUGACCAGCCACACUGGAACUGAGACACGGUCCAGACUCCUACGGGAGGCAGCAGUGGGGAAUAUUGCACAAUGGGCGCAAGCCUGAUGCAGCAAUGCCGCGUGUGUGAAGAAGGCCGUCGGGUUGUAAAGCACUUUCAGCGGGGAGGCGUUACCCGCAGAAGAAGCACCGGCUAACUACGUGCCAGCAGCCGCGGUAAUUC